rnacentral:rRNA from 1 species
ACGAACGCUGGCGGCGUGGCUAAGACAUGCAAGUCGAACGGACCCGUUAAUUUAUUAGCGGGUUAGUGGCGAAAGGGUGAGUAAUGGAUAGGUAACGUACCCCGAGCUCUGGGAUAGCCAUCCGAAAGGAUGGGUAAUACCGGAUAACAUCGCGGGCCGAUGGGCUCGUGAUCAAAGAUUCAUCGGCGCGGGAGCGGCCUAUCUCCUAUCAGCUAGUUGGUGAGGUAACGGCCCACCAAGGCGAAGACAGGUAGCGGGACGGAGAGGUUGGCCCGCCACAUCGGAACUGAGACACUGUCCGGACCCCCACGGGGGGCUGCAGUAACGAAUCUUGGGCAAUGGGCGAAAGCCUGACCCAGCGACGCCGCGUGCGGGAGGAAGUCCUUCGGGAUGUAAACCGCUGUCAGGGACGUGAAAGUCCACUUCGGUGGAUUGAUCUAACCCAAAGGAAGUCACGGCUAACUCUGU